GUCGAUAUGUCCCAGUGGUUAAGGAGACAGACUUGAGAUCUGUUGCGCUUUGCCCACGCAGGUUUGAACCCUGUUAUUGACG